CGCGUAGGUUGGAAUAUAAGUCAGAUGUGAAAGCCCCGGGCUUAACCUGGGAAUUGCAUAUGAAACUGUAUUUCUAGAGUGGAGUAGAGGGCAGUGGAAUUUCCGGUGUAGCGGUGAAAUGCGUAGAUAUCGGAAGGAACACCAGUGGCGAAGGCGGCUGCCUGGACUCUAACUGACACUGAGGCGCGAAAGCGUGGGGAGCGAACA
rnacentral:rRNA from 1 species